rnacentral:rRNA from 1 species
CCUACGGGUGGCAGCAGUCGAGAAUCAUUCACAAUGGGGGAAACCCUGAUGGUGCGACGCCGCGUGGGGGAAUGAAGGUCUUCGGAUUGUAAACCCCUGUCAUGUGGGAGCAAAUUAAAAAGAUAGUACCACAAGAGGAAGAGACGGCUAACUCUGUGCCAGCAGCCGCGGUAAUACAGAGGUCUCAAGCGUUGUUCGGAAUCACUGGGCGUAAGGCGUGCGUAGGCUGUUUCGUAAGUCGGGUGUGAAAGGCGCGGGCUCAACCCGCGGACGGCACAUGAUACUGCGAGACUAGAGUAAUGGAGGGGGAACCGGAAUUCGCGGUGUAGCAGUGAAAUGCGUAGAUAUCGAGAGGAACACUCGUGGCGAAGGCGGGUUCCUGGACAUUAACUGACGCUGAGGCACGAAGGCCAGGGGAGCGAAAGGGAUUAGAUACCCCUGUAGUC